rnacentral:rRNA from 1 species
GAAGCUGGAAUCGCUAGUAAUCGCGGAUCAGAAUGCCGCGGUGAAUACGUUCCCGGGUCUUGUACACACCGCCCGUCACACCAUGGGAGUCGGAAAUGCCCGAAGUCUGUGACCCAACCGGAAGGAAGGAGCAGCCGAAGGCAGGUCUGAUGACUGGGGUGAAGUCGUAACAAGGUACC